ACAGCUUUAAAUUCUCUCUGGACUGAAACAGAACUCUAAUGUAAAGUUCAGGUGAAAUUCCACACGUCCAGUGUUCUGCUUUGUGUCAUCAGACGUAGAAGGAGAGAAGAUGCGGGUUCCUCUGCUCCUCGUGUGUCUGUUAGCUGUGGGUUUAUCUGCUCCGCUGCACAAAUACAGAGGGAGGCGUUCCGAGAGCUCAGAGGAUGAUGGGGGCGAUUCUGAAGAUGGGAGCAAUGAAGGAGGAGAAAAGACGAAAACAGGGAAAGGGAGGAGAAAGGGAUGGAGAAGGAAAAGAGAAAGAAGAGGAAGGAGAAGGUGGAAACAAUGAAGAUGGAGAGCAGGGUGGAGGAAAUGAAGAAGGAGGUGAAGGAGAGGAAGGAAACAGGGAGAACAACGAGGAGAAGAAGACGGUGAGGGUGAAGGUGGAGAAGUUGGUGAAGAAAGAGAAGAAGGAAGAAAGGGUAAGAGAGAAAAACAGAAGGUGGGGAAAAGGAGGAGAUGGUGAGGAGAAGGAGCAGAAGGUGCGGAAGAGGGGAGGGAGAAGAAGGAGAGAAUAAAAGAGAGAGGAGAGUAAUGAGGAAGAAAGUGAAGAGGAGAUAGUGUUGAGGAUGAGGAUGGUGGAGAGAAAGAAGGUGAAGAUGAGGGCACUGGAGGUGAAGAUGAAGAUGAUGGAGGUGAAAAUGGUAAUGGAGGUGAAGAUGUGGGUGAUGGAGAUGAAAAUGGUGAUGGAGGUGAAGAACAGAGCAAUGGAGGUGAAGAGGAAGGUGAUGGAGGAGAACUUUAAACAGGACCAGGUCCUCUCUGACAUCAAGAGAGACGGAGCUGAGGGACAGAAGCCCCACACACUCCCGUGUAUAAAUGCGGCACUUUUGACUUAUUGUGUAUAUUUAUAUAUUUACCUUGUCUAAUUUCUAAACGGUCCUCAAUAUGUUCCGUAUCAAACGUGUAAAUAAAUGUCUAAGAGACUCUGAUGCUCUGAUGUUUGUAACCAUUCACACAUUACACAUGUUUAAUUCAUUCAUUGCAUAUUGUAUGUCACUUCAAACAGCUGUAGCUAUAAAAACAGGUCAUUAUAAACCUGUCAAUCAUCUUACAGCUGGCAGUUAUACAGAAACACACACAAAAACACACACAUGGGUACAAUAAGAAAAUUCUUGCUACAUACACACGUUUUGAUAAGAUAAACAUCUGAUCUCAUCUCAGGUGCUCACAAGGUUUUAUACAAACAUCUAGAUGAAAUGUGAUACAAUAAAGCACUUCUUUGUUUCUGAAAGUAAAAUAAUUUAUUGGAGUUCGUCUCACCAGGCUUCUGUCGUCAUCCCAUCAUCAAUACAAUCACAAACUCAGAGCAUGAACUCCAUGAGAUCCACAACACCACACCACACAUCAUCUCUCUGAGGGAGAGACACAGCGGUUCAGCACUCUUGACAUUACUGCUACAGAGGAAGUGAUGUCACACAGGACCCAGACGCGACUCGAUUCUCCUUCAUUACUGGUACAACGGAACCCAGUGAUGUCACCAGUGAAUAGCAGAUGCUGCUUUCUGAUUGGACGACAGUAUGACUGUCAUAAUUAUGAUGGACACUGCCCUCGAUAAUCACUGCUUCAAUUAACCAUGUUAUCACUCAGUAAUAAAAAUUAAUUACAGCGUAAUCAUCACUGUCUAUCAGUCACCAACUAACAAGAGAGGAACACAUACGAGGUGGGAACAAAAAGUUUCGAGACUAAUUUUGAAACUCGCUAACAGAUGAACAGAGAGAACCGACCUUCAUAAAUCAGUGUGCCAAAAUCACCAAUCUCCUCCUCACACGUGAGUUUCUUGCCGGAAACAACAUGCUCCCACCCUACUCAUCAGAUGUAGCUCCUGCAGACUUUGCCUUCUUUCCAAAGGUGAAGAUCCAGUUCUGUUCCAGAAUAAAACUGUGAGAACUGUAUUACUGUUCAGGGGAACUAUCCUAAAGGUGAUCGUGUAGAAACUUAGAUAAAUAAAAAGUAUUUAAGAUAAAACUUUUUUGUAAACAGAGCGUGUUCAAACUUUUUGAU